GCCAUUAUGGUGUAGUGGUUUGAGCGCUGGACUACGACUCUGGAGACCAGGUUCGAAUCCUGGCUCAGCCA
rnacentral:tRNA from 1 species